rnacentral:lncRNA from 1 species
UCAGGCGCCUCUCACACUCGAGUUGAAUUCUGUCUUCAACGAGUCUAGCAUCCUUGAGCAGGGCUGAGCAUCUGUGCUCCAAAGUCUUGACCUCAUGACGGAGUGCUUAAUUGUGAAGUUCAGACUCCUCUACCGCUGAGGCCAGAUCUCUGAUACGGUCAGAACUCUUACUCAGCUCCUGCUCGAGAACCUCAACCCGAGCUAGUGCUCCCUCCAUCUGAAUCUUCACCUUGGCAAGAUGAGCCUGAGCUCCGUCGAAAUCAGCCUUCAGGGCCUC